AUGGCUGCUAACCUCGCCUUACAGUGUCUGAGCACUGAAGCCAAAGUUAGGCCUCGAAUGUCGGAGGUGUUAGCAGCAUUGGAGCAAAUUGAUUCCCCAAAAACUGCAGCCAAACAUUCCCAAUCAGAACUUCAGACUGUUCAGAUACGCUCCCGGAAGUCGCCAAUGAGACAUCAUCAUUCUCCUCUUAAUCUAACACCAAGUGCAUCCCCAUUGGCAUCCCACCAGCCAUCUCCACGAGUACGCUGAGUAGACCAUGUCUGUAUAUUUUACAUUCUCCACAUACACUUGCAAAUUCUCUUGUUGUAAAAUCUAAUUUGGGCGUGUAUCUCGCAGCAAUUUUGAUUCCUACUAAAACAGAUUAUCACCAUUGUCACCACCCGAAGUUGUAGCUUUAUUUUCGGGGUAAUCUGCACUUCAGUUAUGUAAUUAAAUAUCCAGUG
rnacentral:misc_RNA from 1 species